rnacentral:rRNA from 1 species
CUGCUGCCUCCCGUAGGAGUUUGGGCCGUGUCUCAGUCCCAAUGUGGCCGUUCACCCUCUCAGGCCGGCUACUGAUCGUCGCCUUGGUGGGCUUCUACCCCGCCAACCAGCUAAUCAGACGCGGAUCCAUCUUACACCACCGGAGUUUUUCACACUGAGCCAUGCGGCUCUGUGCGCUUAUGCGGUAUUAGCACCUAUUUCUAAGUGUUAUCCCCCAGUGUAAGGCAGGUUAUCCACGCAUUACUCACCCCG